GACGAACGCUGGCGGCGCGCCUAACACAUGCAAGUCGAACGGAGUCACGAGGAGCUUGCUUUUCUUGACUUAGUGGCGAACGGGUGAGUAACGCGUGAGUAACCUGCCCUGGAGUGGGGGACAACAGUUGGAAACGACUGCUAAUACCGCAUAAGCCCACGGAUCCGCAUGGAUCUGCGGGAAAAGGAUUUAUUCGCUUCAGGAUGGACUCGCGUCCAAUUAGCUAGUUGGUGAGGUAACGGCCCACCAAGGCGACGAUUGGUAGCCGGACUGAGAGGUUGAACGGCCACAGUGGGACUGAGACACGGCCCAGACUCCUACGGGAGGCAGCAGUGGGGGAUAUUGCACAAUGGGGGAAACCCUGAUGCAGCGACGCCGCGUGGAGGAAGGAGGUUUUCGGAUUGUAAACUCCUGUCGUUAGGGACGAUAAUGACGGUACCUAACAAGAAAGCACCGGCUAACUACGUG
rnacentral:rRNA from 1 species